rnacentral:rRNA from 1 species
UACGAAGGGGGCUAGCGUUGUUCGGAAUUACUGGGAGUAAAGCGUGCGCAGGCGGCUUCUCAAGUCAGGGGUGAGAGCCCAGAGCUCAACUCUGGAAUUGCCUUUGAGACUGAGUGGCUUGAGUACGGGAGAGGUGAGUGGAAUUCCCAGUGUAGAGGUGAAAUUCGUAGAUAUUGGGAAGAACACCGGUGGCGAAGGCGGCUCACUGGCCCGUAACUGACGCUCAUGCACGACAGCGUGGGGAUCAAACAGG